UAAAUUUAGGAUUGAUGGAGGAGAAAUGAAACAAAAAGCUGAGCACUAAAUUGCAUAGAACAAAAUACAGACAUAACAUGAAGAAAUGGUUAUACUACUCGUAUACCUAUGCUUUCCUCCAAGCUAUAAUUAUCUGCAGCACCAUCUCUGGAGAAUAUGUAUAUGUGCCCUUCAACUAAAAUUUUACACUUCAACAAUUCUGGCCUGUAAAUUGCAAUUACAUUCUCAGAGAGGUAAGCUCCUAUUAGAAUCAGCUGACUGUGCUGUCAACUUUUCUCUGUUUCUUUUCUCCCUCAAUAUUAAUUAUGUAUGCUUUCCCCAAAUAUUUAAAGAAGCAUAAAUCAAAGAAUAACUAUGUUUCUAUCUGCCUAUUUUUUUCAGAAAUGCUAAAUCAUCCAAGUUGCUGUUAUGUUAUGAACCGAACCUUCUCACACAUCCCUUUUCCAUUUCAACACAUUUUCAAACGUUUGCUUUUUCCAUCCUACAAAUCCUACCCUGGAAAUAUGAGAUGGUAUAGACUAGAGGACUCGUCAAUAGUGUUUUCCAGUGGGAGUUAUGUGUCAGAAUUUUUCACUCCGAAACACUUUUAAACUACCCUUCAGGAAACAGAAUGUACAAUAACACUGGGGCAAUGAUAAGUCCAAAACAACAUAUGGGAUAAGAGAGAAGUCAUCCAUUCACAUGCCCAUCUAAUAUAAUUCUUUCCUCGUAGGGAAGCUGGCUCACUAUAUUUUUUUUAUUUGUAACAGGUGUUCUCAAAAGAGAACAUAUUUAUGUAUCUCUCUGUCACAUUGUUUUCAGGAGGGAAUAUGAGUACAAAAUUUCCUAUUAGUUCUGAAAUCAGCAGUUUUUAUCAUUUAGAAGCUGCAAAAUGCAAUAGCUAAUCUUUCUAAAGAUUGGAAAACAAAAGCCCUCACUCAAAUCUGAAUACUCUUUCAACUAUUAGGUAACUGCCAGCAAUGCAAUCUCUACCUUUCAAUUUUUGACAUACCUGAGACAAACAUGAUAUCCCUGGGCCCCACGGUAUGGUGGGACUUUUCAAAGUCUUUGUGAGCUGAAUAAAUUACCUUUGUUCAGCUGUCACUAUAGCAAAAAUUGCAAGGUAACUGCUCUGGAGAAUUGUGGGAACCUCCACUUCAUUCCACUUACCCACUCCAUAGAGACGCACUUCUCACUUGAACCCAAGGCAUUUUAACGUUCCCCCCACCCCCAAGCAAAUGCAGGGAAGAAAUGGCAAAUCCAGGGGAAGGAUAUUGACUGACUGCCAUUUUUGCAUUUUUCCUGAUUGACUAGCUAGCCAGCUAUAUGCAAAUUCAGGGAACAUAGCAAGACAUGCUGCAGAGGCUGUUGUUUGUGGAUGGAUGCAUUUACUGGGUGCAUUUACUGUACAGUCAAGACUCAACAAAUAAUUAUUGGUACUGUUUAAAUCUGCUGUUACAGCACUGCCUCCAGCUGCUUUUUAACAAUGAAGGAAGAACAGUAUAAAGAAAAGGGAGGUUUUUACUGGUAGAAACAAAAUACGUUUAUCAACCUGAUGUGCUGCCAUGAUACUCCUGCAAGAUAUAGUGUAAACCUGUGUAUCUGACCUUGCACUAAGGCUGCAGUUGGCAUAUUCCAUCUUAAACCACUUUAGCUAUAGCUCAGUACAUAUUAACUUUGACAUUUAAAGAUGCGCUAGCUGUCCAAAUAGUACCAUAAAAACACAAUCUUACUUCUCAUUCAAAGUAUAAUGCAGAAUUAUUAGAGCAUGGUACUGCAAAAGUUUCCAUUCAUUGUCAUCAAGCAAAAUCCUUGGUGGUCUUACUGUUGUAGAACAGAUUUACUGUUGCUGGUUGAAGAAACAGACCAACCUGCAUUCAUACACACACACACACACACACACACACACACACACACACACGGCGGAUAAAAUUUUAUCUUUCCUUUUAGGAUCUCGAAUGUAUGCAAACAACAUGGAACAAAUAAGAUCAUAAUUGGACUAUAUUUAAGACUCAAUGUUUUGGUAGAAAAGUUUAGGAUAUGCUUAAAUUAGUGUGACCCAAAAGUCCUAAACUAUGACCUUUCUCUAUAAUAAA